rnacentral:rRNA from 1 species
GUGUCAGCAGCCGCGGUAAUACGUAGGCAGCAAGCGUUGUUCGGAGUUACUGGGCGUAAAGAGUGUGUAGGCGGUUCGGUUAGUUCGGUGUGAAAUCUCCCGGCUCAACUGGGAGGGUGCGCCGGAUACUGCCGGGCUUGAGUGCGGGAGAGGAGAGCGGAAUUCCUGGUGUAGCGGUGAAAUGCGUAGAUAUCAGGAGGAACACCGGCGGUGUAGACGGCUCUCUGGACCGUGACUGACGCUGAGACACGAAAGCGUGGGGAGCAAACAGGAUUAGAUACCCUGGUAGUCCACGCCCUAAACGAUGCGCACUUGGUGUGAGCCAUUCAGUUGGUUCGUGCCGGAGCUAACGCGUUAAGUGCGCCGCCUGGGGAGUACGGUCGCAAGGCUGAAACUUAAAUGAAUUGACGGGG